rnacentral:rRNA from 1 species
AGAGUUUGAUCCUGGCUCAAGAUGAACGCUGGGCGGCGUCCUACCCCAUGCAAGUCGAGCGAUUCCUUCGGAGAAGAGCGGCGGACGGGUGAGUAACGCGGGGUUAACCUGCCCUGUACACACGGAUAACAUACCGAAAGGUAUGCUAAUACGAGAUAAUAUGCUUUUAUCGCAUGGUAGAAGUAUCAAAGCUCCGGCGGUACAGGAUGGACCCGCGUCUGAUUAGCUAGUUGGUAAGGUAACGGCUUACCAAGGCGACGAUCAGUAGCCGACCUGAGAGGGUGAUCGGCCACAUUGGAACUGAGACACGGUCCAAACUCCUACGGGAGGCAGCAGUGGGGAAUAUUGCACAAUGGGCGAAAGCCUGAUGCAGCAACGCCGCGUGAGCGAUGAAGGCCUUCGGGUCGUAAAGCUCUGUCCUCAAGGAAGAUAAUGACGGUACUUGAGGAGGAAGCCCCGGCUAACUACGUGCCAGCAGCCGCGGUAAUACGUAGGGGGCUAGCGUUAUCCGGAAUUACUGGGCGUAAAGGGUGCGUAGGUGGUUUCUUAAGUCAGAGGUGAAAGGCUACGGCUCAACCGUAGUAAGCCUUUGAAACUGGGAAACUUGAGUGCAGGAGAGGAGAGUGGAAUUCCUAGUGUAGCGGUGAAAUGCGUAGAUAUUAGGAGGAACACCAGUUGCGAAGGCGGCUCUCUGGACUGUAACUGACACUGAGGCACGAAAGCGUGGGGAGCAAACAGGAUUAGAUACCCUGGUAGUCCACGCCGUAAACGAUGAGUACUAGCUGUCGGAGGUUACCCCCUUCGGUGGCGCAGCUAACGCA